rnacentral:rRNA from 1 species
UUGUGAACUCGACGAGUAGGGCGGGACACGUGUUAUCCUGUCUGAAUAUGGGGGGACCAUCCUCCAAGGCUAAAUACUCCUGAUUGACCGAUAGUGAACCAGUACCGUGAGGGAAAGGCGAAAAGAACCCCGGCGAGGGGAGUGAAAAAGAACCUGAAACCGUGUACGUACAAGCAGUAGGAGCCUCUUUAUGGGGUGACUGCGUACCUUUUGUAUAAUGGGUCAGCGACUUAUAUUCUGUAGCAAGGUUAACCG